rnacentral:misc_RNA from 1 species
ACAAGAACAUAAAUUUCAGUAAUUGAGUACUAUUAUUUAUGUUGGAUCAUCUACAUAAAGGAAUACUUGUAUUCUUUUGGUUUCUGCCAUCAUAUGCAUAUUGAUUUUAUUUGCUCGUGUGUGCAUAUUUGUAUUACUUGUAACUAAGUCAUCUAUUAUAAAAUUUUAAACUCAAUAUUAAAUAACAGCAGCUAAUUUCAUUAGUGAUUUUGAUUUUUUGAAUAAUAAGUUCAUACCUCUCCAGAAAUUUUCUUGAA